GAUUCAGGAGCGGUUGUGCUUUUCUGGCUUCAGCGUUGCGGCUCAAGGCACAGCUGGUCAUGUGCCUGCUGUCCAUUGCCGCUAAGGCCUGCUGCUGCCAUUCAGGCGUCUCUCUCUCUCUUUCAUGCCGCUUUCUCCACCCCAUCUUGGGACGGCCGGCUCUAAGAAUUCCCGCUACGACACUGAAUUCAACCAGGAGGUGAUGCCACUUGCAAUCAGAAACUAUGCCACUGGUGAAGAAGUAUAUUGAGCCCUGCCUGGUUAACCUCCAGUGAGGUUAUUAGAGAAUUGAGAGAGGCUCAAAUCAGCAUCCUGCACCUAGUUAUCAAACCAUUGUGAAGUCUUGAUUCCUGGAUGGCCAGAAAACAUCUCAUUGGUCAAGAGCAACAUUAAGAUCUGCCUGUUAUCAUACUGAUGCUUCCUGCCCAGCAAGUUCAUCAGAGGAAGAGGAUGAAUUACGGUUGCCAUGGAUGUCCUUGUGAGGCAGUUGGGAAGCCUUGGCUGGAUUGUGAAGGAUAUUUGGAAAGUAUUUUAGAGUCCACCAGAUCCUCCAUGUGAAUGACCAUGCAGCAAAAGAAGGAGGGUCCUGUCAGUGAUUAAGGUAACAUAGUGAUUAAGGUAAGUAGGGGAAGAGAGGCUUACUUUGCCCUGAUUCUUGUCAGGGAGGCUCUCAGAACUGCCAUUUCCAGAGCAUAAGUGACAGGCCAGCACUUUCAAAGCCUGCAACUUAUUCUAUAAUAUAUCCUUCUUAAAACAAUUCAUGUAGAUUAUAUGCUUAUCCAGUCUGUGAUCACUCCUGCAGAAGAUCAGAAGAACUGAAAUAUGGGUGACAUAGGCUCUUACUUUUGUAAAUAUUUUGUUGAAACACAGUUGUGUUCGUUCAUUAUUGUCGAUGGCAGCUUUCAUGCUACAGCAGAGAUGAGUAGUUGGGAGAGAAACCAUAUGGACCAUGGAGUUUGAAAUAUUACUGUCUGGCCCUUCACAGAAAGUUUGCCAAUUCCUGGCAUAGGUUAAAUAAAUGUACUAUGUCUACAAAUCCUCCUCUCCCC
rnacentral:lncRNA from 1 species